UACGUAGGGGGCUAGCGUUGUCCGGAAUCAUUGGGCGUAAAGAGCGUGUAGGCGGCCCGGUAAGUCCGCUGUAAAAGUCAAAGGCUCAACCUUUGAAUGUCAGUGGAUACUGCCGGGCUAGAGUCCGGAAGAGGCGAGUGGAACUCCUGGUGUAGCGGUGGAAUGCGCAGAUAUCAGGAGGAACACCGAUGGCGAAGGCAGCUCGCUGGGACGGUACUGACGCUGAGGCGCGAAAGCGUGGGGAGCAAACAGG
rnacentral:rRNA from 1 species